UCAGAUGGCCGGAUGACCGCUUUUUAAUCUUGAUUAAGGGGAGGAAAGUCCGGGCUCCAGGGGAAAUGGGUGCCGGAUAACGUCCGGCAAGGGUAACCUUAGGGACAGUGCCACAGAAAACAGACUACCUGCCCGCAAGGGUCGGAAAAGGUGAAAAGGUGCGGUAAGAGCGCACCGCGUCGGCGGCAACGGCGACGGCAUGGCAAACCCCACCCGGAGCAAAACCGAAUAGGAAUCACACAGUCCGGUUGUAAAACCGGGCGCGGCUUUCUCCGCCGGUGGUUCGGGUUGGUUGCACGAGGUGUCCGGUAACGGGCAUCCCAGAUGAAUGGUCAUCGCCUGCUUUGCAGGUACAGAACCCGGCUUAUAGGCCGUCUGACUUU
rnacentral:RNase_P_RNA from 1 species